GAUGAACGCUAGCUACAGGCUUAACGCAUGCAAGUCGAGGGGAAACGAUAUUGGAAGCUUGCUUCCGAUAGGCGUCGACCGGCGCACGGGUGAGUAACGCGUAUCCAACCUGCCCAUCACUUGGGGAUAACCUUGCGAAAGUAAGACUAAUACCCAAUGACGUCUCUAGAAGACAUCUGAAAGAGAUUAAAGAUUUAUCGGUGAUGGAUGGGGAUUCGUCUGAUUAGCUUGUUGGCGGGGUAACGGCCCACCAAGGCGACGAUCAGUAGGGGUUCUGAGAGGAAGGUCCCCCACAUUGGAACUGAGACACGGUCCAAACUCCUACGGGAGGCAGCAGUGAGGAAUAUUGGUCAAUGGGCGAGAGCCUGAACCAGCCAAGUAGCGUGCAGGAUGACGGCCCUAUGGGUUGUAAACUGCUUUUAUAAGGGAAUAAAGUGAGAGUCGUGACUCUUUUUGCAUGUACCUUAUGAAUAAGGACCGGCUAAUUCCGUGCCAGCCGCCGCUGUAA
rnacentral:rRNA from 1 species